UGUUUGUCUGCCUGCUUCAGAAUUUUCUUGGCUUUUGGUGUGUGGUUGCUCGUUUAACAUACGGGAGAUGGGAUGGGGCUAGUGAACUAUUGGGGCUUGGACUCGCUUGAACUGAUUCAGGUGCAUAACAGGAAAUUUUCAUGCUGCAGAUAUGAAACAACUGAUUAAACGAGGGAUCUGUAUACUACUUCAAUUGCAAAUAGUUUUUUUCUCAACAGAAAACUUAAUUAACAAACACGUUUUGGCAGAAGCGUUUGAGCAUCUUCUGUGUUGACUCUCUUAGCGAAGUGUAUUGCUUUUCAUUUCUUCAGCCUAAUGAUAACUUUAAACCGUUCACUUCUUUUAGUAUUGGAGUAACUGCCCUAAAGCCAUUUUGCUUUGAUUUAGCCUGGGCAAUAAUUUCUUCUGGACUGAAGAACCCGCCUAAUUUCUUAAGGUUAACUCCACUCAGCAAGUGAACAUCUUAGGUAGAAUGAUGAUCUGUUCAGGUUUUUAUUAUAAUAGACAAACUUUGCGUGUCUGCUCUGAUAGCUGUACAGAAACAUUUCAUACCAGAAGGAAGUGCUUGCCUCUGAGUGUUUUUGUUCUGCAGUCUUUUCUGUGUAUGCAGAUUCCUGUAUCUGCAGUGAAUUUCCACAGAAACUGAAAAUAUAAAAAAGAUACUAAAAUUAAAUGAAUAAAACUCAGGUACAUUGGGGAGGGGGGUAGUGGAAUAAGGGGGAAGGAGCAGGACCAUGCUUGUGAAUAAGUUGUACACAGGAUGCUUUUUGGCAUGUGCUCGGGGAAAUGAGCAAAGACAUAUAUAUAUAUAUAUAAAAGAUGUAAGGGAGCAUUAUGACAUCUUGUCAAAUACCUUCAGUUUUUCAUUUCUGCACUGGAGACACAGAUUUAUGUUUUCAUGUGAAUUUGUCUUGCAAAGAUAUUCCCCAUCUCCAUGUAAAGACAUUUUAUCAUCUGGCAAGGUCUUCGUUAUUAAUGAACUUAAGAAAAGCGUAAUGAUCAUUUCACCUGUACCAGUUUUACGGUGUAGACUAAUGCUUCCCCACCUUCCUCCCCAACUUAGCCAUACUCUCCUUGGCUGGUUUGGCAGAAGCAGGCUGCAGUGGCUUAAGGGAAAGAUGUUGUCUUAACAAUUCUAUGUAAAGUUUUGGGGGUUAAUUUACCUUUUAAAUUUUGCUUUAAGUAUUUUUAUUUUUUUCUUAUUAAGUAGUUACACUGUAAUGAAAAGUUGCCAUAAGAGGAAGUGGCCUUUAUUUACUAAAGAAAACAUCCUUGUUUUUGAAUUGUAGCAUAGGCUGGUUUAAAGGGGAAAGGAGAAUUGGAAAUGGAGUAUGGGACAUGAACACAUAAUCCAGAACAAUAUGUUACGUGAUUAAAGAUAAUUAAUCAUUAUCUAAAAGUAAUGAAUAGAGCUUCCUGACUCAACUUUGUCUGGAUGCGGAGGACACUUUUUUAGUUGAUAACCUCUUUGACUUUUAGGAUGCAUAUGUACAUAUGGGAACAGUUGUCUAGCCUCAAGAGCGUUUCAACUUCAGUUGCGUUUUGAGGAAGUUGAAUGGGAGUUCUCUUUAUAGAGUAACACUUCAUGGAAACAACUAUAUAAUGAGAAAAAAACAAGUUUUAAUUAGAAAACGUUUUUUUCUGGUUACUCUUUUGUGGUUUUAUGUCUCAUAUAGCUUUGUUUUGACACGUCAGGUCCUAGAUAUACUUGUAGGAAAAAUUAAUGUUCUGUUUAAUAAAAUAUAAGAUUAAGUGAAAAGAUUUUUGAAACAGAAGAGUUUUACACUUUAUUCAAAGGUUUUCUUCAUUGUGAAAGGAAGAAGUUUUGAGGGUUUGGAGAAGGUAUUAAUAUGAAGUUAUUAAAUGUCUAAACUCUUAAAGUGGAUGAAAAGUUGUUCUUUUGUGUCAUACAAUUUAUUUGGAUAGCUGCAGUAUGUUUGAAAUAGGAUGUCUGUGCUGAUUUUAAAUGAGGUUCAUAUAAAAAAACCUUAAAUUUGGUUGUACUUAAUCCAUUCGGAUUUGGAUGGUAGAGGUACUGAAAUAAAGGGACUUUAUAAAUAUGUAUGCAUAUUUAUGUAUAUAUGUAUUUGCAUAUAUAAAUAUAAACACAAGUCCCUUUAUAUGAAAAAUAAAAUCAAUCACUUAAAAAUAUGUAUGUAUGUUUAAAAAAAUGUUGUGUGUACAUACGCAAGCACCCGUACUAGACAUAUUCUGAAUUGUUGCUGAUAGAAAACAGAUUUUCCUUUUGCUCACUGGGGAAUUUAGCCUUCAAAGAAUAAUGUGCAAUUCUCCAUUACAGUCAGGGUUUCUUCUUUCAGUGAUGUUAGAGAUCUCUCCUUGUACAGCCUGUUGCAAAUCAGUCUGUAUAUGUACAAUAUUUAGUAUUUGUUUGAAUUCAGAAUUUCAUUGCACAAUUUGUUUAUUAAGGGAAAUCAAUAAAAAAAACAAACUGUGACAGAAAGAAGAAAGUUUUUCUACAUUGAAAAUGACUAUAAAGUCUACUUAUGACUCGGAAAGAUUUUGAGUGCUGUAUGUAGUCUUAAAGUGAGAUCAAUGAAAAACAACGUCCAGUUGGAGUCAGAGAAUACCGCUGUGUGACUUGAAAUGAUGGUGCUCUAAUGUACUCAACUGAAGUUUUUUAAUAAUAUGAUUCACAAUAAAGACUAGUUAUUUGAAGUUUUGCUUUUGAA